rnacentral:rRNA from 1 species
CAGUAGCCGCGGUAAUACAGAGGGUGCGAGCGUUAAUCGGAUUUACUGGGCGUAAAGCGUGCGUAGGCGGCUUCUUAAGUCGGAUGUGAAAUCCCCGGGCUCAACCUGGGAAUGGCAGUGGAUACUGGCAAGCUAGAGUGUGUCAGAGGAUGGUGGAAUUCCCGGUGUAGCGGUGAAAUGCGUAGAGAUCGGGAGGAACAUCAGUGGCGAAGGCGGCCAUCUGGGACAACACUGACGCUGAGGCACGAAGGCGUGGGGAGCAAACAGGAUUAGAUACCCCCGUAGUCCCUGUCUCUUAUAC